rnacentral:rRNA from 1 species
GACGAACGCUGGCGGCGUGCUUAACACAUGCAAGUCGAACGGAAAGGCCCCCUUGUGGGGUACUCGAGUGGCGAACGGGUGAGUAACACGUGAGUAACCUACCCUUGACUUCGGGAUAACUUCAGGAAACUGGGGCUAAUACCGGAUAGGAGCUCCUGCUGCAUGGUGGGGGUUGGAAAGUUUCGGCGGUUGGGGAUGGACUCGCGGCUUAUCAGCUUGUUGGUGGGGUAGUGGCUCACCAAGGCUUUGACGGGUAGCCGGCCUGAGAGGGUGACCGGCCACAUUGGGACUGAGAUACGGCCCAGACUCCUACGGGAGGCAGCAGUGGGGAAUAUUGCACAAUGGGCGGAAGCCUGAUGCAGCAACGCCGCGUGCGGGAUGACGGCCUUCGGGUUGUAAACCGCUUUCGCCUGUGACGAAGCGUGAGUGACGGUAAUGGGUAAAGAAGCACCGGCUAACUACGUG